rnacentral:tRNA from 1 species
GGGACUAUAGUUAAUAAUAACAUUUGAGUUGCAUUCAAAAAGUGCUGCAACAAAGUAGCUAGCCUCA